AUUGAACGCUGGCGGCAUGCCUUACACAUGCAAGUCGAACGGUAACAGGUCUUCGGAUGCUGACGAGUGGCGAACGGGUGAGUAAUACAUCGGAACGUGCCUAGUAGUGGGGGAUAACUACUCGAAAGAGUGGCUAAUACCGCAUGAGAUCUACGGAUGAAAGCAGGGGAUCGCAAGACCUUGUGCUACUAGAGCGGCGGAUGGCAGAGUAGGUAGUUGGUGGGAUAAAAACUUACCAAGCCGACGAUCUGUAGCUGGUCUGAGAGGACGAUCAGCCACACUGGGACUGAGACACGGCCCAGACUCCUACGGGAGGCAGCAGUGGGGAAUUUUGGACAAUGGGCGCAAGCCUGAUCCAGCAAUGCCGCGUGCAGGAUGAAGGCCUUCGGGUUGUAAACUGCUUUUGUACGGAACGAAAAGCCCCGGGUUAAUACCCUGGGGUCAUGACGGUACCGUAAGAAUAAGCACCGGCUAACUACGUGCCAGCAGCCGCGGUAA
rnacentral:rRNA from 1 species